rnacentral:tRNA from 1 species
GGGCAGUUAGCUCAGCGGUAGAGCACUGUCCUCACACGACAGGGGUCACAGGUUCAAAUCCUGUACUGCCCA